CUGCGGUGUUGUUACUUUGGAGUUAUACUUUCUGUGAUCCUCCAUUUAUGUAUGAUUUCAGCUACUUUGUCAUGGUACGGAGGUUGGCUUUGGUAACUGCCUAAUAAAAAAAUUGCUAUGUCUUUGAUGUUAAUUGGAAAUGUUAGCAUUCUUUCUAGAAAUAGACUGAAGGUUAAACAUGAAUGUUAAUAGUGUAUUCUAGUUCUGUGCAUACAAGUAGUAGAAGAAAUUAG
rnacentral:lncRNA from 1 species